AAAUGGUAGCAUUCUCAGUUUCCCUAGGCCUUGCAUAAAAAUGACCUAUUGAGUAGCUUUCUUUGAUGAAGAGUAGAUUUAUUUAUACCUUUGGGCCAGAACUCUGAGUGUGGCAACUUGCCUUGGUGACACAUCUGCUCAUUAAUUGUGUUUCAUCUCUGCUCUCUAGUUGAUAGUUUGUUCUGGUAAAUCCUAGUGAUGCUACAAGAACUAGCAAAUAAAGUGAUGAACAUGACAGAAGAAACCUCUUCAUCUCAGAAGGUGACUGUUACAGGAAACUGACAACUACAGAUUUUAUAGAGAGAAGAGCAUGUCAUGAAUUAUUUAGGGACAUAAUGACUGCAAUUAAAAUGAAACACAUUUAUAUGUCCAUUGAAGAGAUGCUGAAUGGAAAAAACAGGAUUAAGAAGCAAUAUAAUGCAGGUACAGCACGCGGUGUGACUGACACAUAAAGCCUGAUUGGAAUUGCAAGUUGCAUCUUAACCCAAGGCAGGUACAGCCAUUAUGCCCUGGCAGUCCAAUUCUUCAAUUGUUUGCUGAGAUUUCUUGAAAUACAUCACAAUUCUGUCAUUGACCAUACACUAAUCUGUCCUUACAGAAGAAACAAGGAAUGGAUAUUUCAAUCUCUGAGAUUUCAUCCCGAUAGGCAGGCAGGAUGCAGCCUUGAGGCACUAUGGAAAUUUGAAGCUGACCAGAGAUGUGCUAAGUGAUUUUCACCAUCUCCUGGCUCAUCUCUGUGGCUAAAUAAUAAAGGGCUAGGGAACAAUCUCUGGCCGACAGAACAGGUAUCAUGCAUAGUUUCUUGUAAGAAGUGAUUAGACCUAAUCCAUUAUAUAUCAAAUGCAUAUUAGAAUGAGAUUGCCAGAG